AAUGAUGGUCUUUUUAUUGUGUUUUUCUUGUGUUUGGGUUUUUGUUCUGUUUUGUUUUGUUGAAUUUUUAUUAUUUUAUUUAUUCUUCUCGAAUGUGACAAUUCUCACGAACGGCCAACGGUGGGGAGGAAACUGUAACAAAAUUGCUACAGAUGCCUUAAACUAUGCACAAAAGCUAAGUGACCAAAUUUGUUUUUGAUUUGAAAAAAAAAAUAAAAUUAAUAAAUAAUAAUAUUAAAAAAAAAAAACCAACCAACAAACCACACAACAAAAGUGCAUUGUUUACGUAUUCCUCCCUCUGCUGAAACAUUUACCCACCAACGGGGUUUUCGAUGGGGAAAAGGAGAAAACGGGGGUGUUUUUUUUAAAGGACAAAAUUUGAAAGGACUAAUUUUCAACUUAAAAACAUUCCAUUUUUUGUAAUUUGUUUUACCUUGUUUUGAGUCCAGCAAGCACAACUGUAACCGGGUUUUGAGAAACUGGUGCUUUCUUUUCAGUUCCUUUGUAUUUCCCUGUUUUAUUAUUGUAAAAGACUGUUUUCUGAAUUCUGUUUACAGUUUUGUCGCAACAGCCAUUUUUGGGAGAGAGCUUCAGCGUAAAGCCAUUUGUAAAGGCUUUGCCAUAGUCAUUUUAAUAUGUGCCUGUUGCUGUUAACUUUUAAUUAAGAAUAAGAAUAAUAAAAAAAAAAAACAACAAACAAAACCAAACCAAAAUCUUUUUCACAUUUUGCUCCAAGUCCAGCGUCACAGGAAGAUAAAGCUCGUUGGCUUCCACUCUCCGACUCAGCCCCCGCUUUGGGAUUUGAAAAUAUUACAUUUCUUGCCAAAAUUUAGAGUUUUUUCUUUUUUUUUGGCCUUAUCCCGACUUACCUGGUUGUUUCCCACCCCCCCUCCUUUGCUAAAAAUUAAGUUGUUGAUUCUUUUCCUGUUCCCUGGAGGGGGAUGGUUCAUCUCCCAGCGGCCCACGUUUAAAGAAAUAAAUUUGUACUGAAAGCGUUUCCUUUGACCCUGCGUGACCUUCCUUCCUUUGCUGCCGUCCCCCUUCAGCAGCAAAGGGGACCAGGAGCUUCGGUUUUAACAGAAAAGCCUUGUUUUAACAGGAAAAUAACCCUGAAAGUCAGAGCUGCCGGGACAGGGAGGUUCCGGCUGCGUGUGGGUAACGGGGGGUUUGAAACUUUGGGGAAAGUAUUGAUUCCUCCUUGAGGUUUUGGAGUAAAAAAAAGCAUAUUCCAACUGCAGUUAUUUCCGAACCCAAAUGGGUAUCAAAUGCCACUAAAAUGGGUACCUGAUGGUGUCUUCUGGGACUCACAUUUUUUUUUUAACAAAGAUGUGACUUUUGGUUAAAGCCGGGGCCUCAACAGCGCUUACGGACGUUUUGCUACUUGUUCCAGGCUAUUUAUAAGCGUAUUUUAAUAUGUCGUUUUAAUGAACAUUAAAAGUAAUGACUUUA